rnacentral:rRNA from 1 species
AUGACCGUGGUCCUGCACUUGAUCAAGCAAGAAUUCCAAGUUAUCGAUUCACUCUAUCCUCUGGACCUGAUAGAAAAGACUGUGAAAGCACUGCAAAUGGCUAUAGCAAACGAUAUGCGCCAAGCAAAUCUUAUUACACCAGGGAAAUAUCCGGACGAUGAUAUCACUUCUGAGUAUGUUGAAUGGGUUGAUGGGGAGUGGGAUAGCAAAGCAAAGCCAGUCAUUAAGUAUCUUGCCAUGAAGAACAAGAAACUGGAGACUAAGAUUACAGAAUAUGAAGCUGAAAUUAAAAGGAAUGAGAAAGAAAAGAGGGCAAUGGUUAAGAUGCACAAGGAAAUAUUUCUCUAUAGGGAUAGGAUUUUAGGAUUUGGAGGUCUUCUGUAUCUUGGCCUGCUUGCCAUUAUGAUUGCUGUCAUAGUUACCAAGUAG